GAGAGGCGGAGAGGGAGGGAGUGAAAAGGGAGAGAGGCGGAGAGGGGGAGUGAAAAGGGAGAGAGGCGGAGAGAGAGAGUGAAAAGGGAGAGAGGCGGAGAGAGGGAGCGAAAAGGGAGAGAGGCGGAGAGAGGGAGCGAAAAGGGAGAGAGGCAGAGAGAGGGAGUGAAAAGGGAGAGAGGGGAGUGAAAAGGGAGAGAGGGGAGUGAAAAGGGAGAGAGGGGAGUGAAAAGGGAGAGAGGCAGAGAAAGGGCAGAAUACCUGACCACUGUGACUGACCCAAACUUAAGGAAAGCUUUGACAGAGAGGCGGAGAGAGGGAGUGAAAAGGGAGAGAGGCGGAGAGGGGGAGUGAAAAGGGAGAGAGGCGGAGAGAGGGAGUGAAAAGGGAGAGAGGCGAAGAGAGGGAGUGAAAAGGGAGAGAGGCGGAGAGAGGGAGUGAAAAGGGAGAGAGGCGGAGAGAGGGAUUGAAAAGGGAGAGACAGACUCAGUGAGCAUAAAUGUCAAAUGUGUGAUUUCAUGAACUGGUACAUACAAGAAAACCAGGUUUUAAAGUUCUGUUCAAUAGCCAUCCCAUCAUUACAGAACAAUUGAAAGGCUAAGUCUAUCAUCUCCUGAGAAGUGGUAACUAUUCACAUGAACUUUUCAAAGAGGUUUGGUGCCCCCUGGUGGCUGAACCCGAGAUCAAUGAGAGAUCUUGUCAGAAACAAUGACAGAGUCCCACUUCUCAGCUAUCUUUAUUUACAUCAAACUAAACUAACUGCUAUCUUGAAAUGUUGAAAACGUGUUUUUAAAUAGCUCAGGCUGAUACCCUACCUGAGCGACAAGGUGAGUCUUUUCUCCCUGACCUGGUGGUUCUAAUGACCUGGUGGUAAAAAUGACCUGGUGGUUCUAAUGACCUGGUGGUUCUAAUGACCUGGUGGUUCUAAUGACCUGGUGGUUCUAAUGACCUGGUGAUAAUAAUGACCUGGUGGUUCUAAUGACCUGGUGGUUCUAAUGACCUGGUGGUUCUAAUGACCUGGUGGUUCUAAUGACCUGGUGGUAAUAAUGACCUGGUGGUUGGCAUAACAAAAGCAGAACCCGAGAACAGGAUGGUCUCCACCACACAGCCUGAUGACACUGCACCAGCCUACCAGUCUGCUCCAGCCCAGGUCAGAAUACCAGUCUCCCAGUCUGCUCCAGCCCAGGUCAGAAUACCAGUCUGCUCCAACACAGUGUGCUCCAGCCCAGGUCAGAAUACCAGUCUCCCAGUCUGCUCCAACACAGUGUGCUCCAGCCCAGGUCAGAAUACCAGUCUCCCAGUCUGCUCCAGCCCAGGUCAGAAUACACGAGGACCAGGGGGCGAUCUGCAGCUCGCCGCCGUGUCCCAGAGGAGGAGUCUGCUGCUCUGCAGGAUGUUUCAAGGAUGGGGUCCAACAACGCAGCAAGAGAGGCAAUCCGUGUGCAGGAGAUCUUCACCUCCUUCCUACUUCUUCAAAGAGGGUGCUGUUCCCUGGCAACACCAUAGACUACACUAUGCACAACCAAAGGCUAUUUUAAGAGGGUACUGUUCCCUGGCAACACCAUAGACUACACUAUGCUCAACCAAAGGCUCUUUUAAGAGCCAUUCACAUUGCAAUGAGAGUAUUCUUCCAUUUACUUAGCUAUGUCAACUGCAGUUAUUCAAUUCCUAGUGUCUCUCCCUUUGAUUUCUACUUCUCCGAUGAGGGUGCUGUUUAGGUAAGGGUGUGAUGUCUGUGCAAAAACAAAACAGGCUAUUUUAAAUCACUAAUAUUGAAAAAAUGUAGAACAAUUAGACACUCAUGUAUCAAUCUGAUUGAUGGAUUGUGUUGUGCAGUAAACAGGCUCAGGUGUAUAACUGUGGCUCCUUCCACCUUCAAAGAAUAGGCAAGAGGGCCAACCAUGGAGAAUAGUAAGACACUUCAUUAUUUCUAUAACUACACUAUAUUGUUUGUCCUUGUGUGUCCGUUCAUGUUUUUCAGCAUAAAGUACUCUGCAGCCACUUAGUGUGGUGUGGACACCAGGUUAUAUCAGCUGUGUCGGUGAACCCCUCCUGCAUCUGAACUGGCUACAUAGAGGGCACAGCAUGGUCAGAGGUGAGAGGUCACUUGGUCAGGUCAACAGGAAGUAUUAUUAAAGAGAUGCUUUACAUUGAAAUACAGAUAGAUGCAGUAGUCCCAGAGUUAAUGAUCCCAGGUCAGUUUAUAUUAUACAGGAAGUAUUAUUAAAGAGAUGCUUUACAUUGAAAUACAGAUAGAUGCAGUAGUCCCUGAGUUAAUGAUCCCAGGUCAGUUUAUAUUAUACAGGAAGUAUUAUUAAAGAGAUGCUUUACAUUGACAUACAGAUAGAUGCAGUAUUCCCAGAGUGAAUGAUCCCAGGUGAGUUUUGCAUUUCACCUCCUGAUCGAUGACUAACAAUGUCAGAAUAAAAACACAAGGCUUAAACAUGCUCUCUCUCUCCAUCUGUCUCUCAUCUGCAGAUAUGUUUAGAUGUUAGAGGAUGCCAACCCCCAGUCCCAUCAUCGCCACCUCACCUGCUUUUAAGAUAACCUGUGGGACGACUAGAGACACUAUUAUGUAAUUGUGAUGAACUGAGAGAAUAUUUAGGUAGCACUGUGAUUCAUUAAUCAUGUGCUGCCUUCCCUGCUCCUAUGUGCUUACCUCUUUCCCUUUCUGUCUUUUACACCUCUCUCUCCACCUCCUCUUUCUUCCUCUGUUUUUAUAAUUCACAACAGAUGUGCAUUGAAGGACAGAUUGAACUUGUAUUUAUAACACUUGGAUAAUGAGCUUUUCAAUAAAGCGUUUCACAUUCUCUACUGGUUGAAAUGAAGUGUAAUGUGAUGAAAUACUCCACCUAUCCUGUGUUUAUCAGAUCAAUGCAGAUGAAGGGCAUUAGAUGUUGAGAUGAACCGGUGUUGGAGUAUUUACAUGAUGCAUAGGGAGUGUAGUGUUCUGUUUUUUAACAUUAUAUUUCUGUAUAUAUGAAUUAACUAGUUAAAUCCUGUUUCUAGUCUAUUAGUUACAAUGUGUAACCAUUGAUGUCCCAGGACCAAGAUUGGUAAACACUGUUGAAGUGUAUAAUUGUAAUACAUACAUGCAGACACAGCAUCAUUCAAAAACUGGAAUUUGAUACUCCUGGUAUUGGAUAUGACUGAAAAAUCAUCUCAAAGACAUUCAUUCUUAAACUGCACCUUUAUUUGCCAAGGUACAGUACAUGAUCAGUGAAUAUAUUAAAUGUACAGGCUACAAUGUGGGGAUCUCAUGCAUGGUAAUAACUACAUGUAUAUACGACUUGCAUCCUUGGCACAACAUGAUAUUAUAUUCUACUCAAUCCA